AUCCAGACUCCUACGGGAGGCAGCAGUGGGGAAUAUUGCACAAUGGGGGGAACCCUGAUGCAGCGACGCCGCGUGAGUGAAGAAGUAUUUCGGUAUGUAAAGCUCUCUCAGCAGGGACGAAGAUGACGGUACCUGCAGAAGAAGCCCCGGCUAACUACGUGCCAGCAGCCGCGGUAAUACGUAGGGGGCAAGCGUUAUCCGGAUUUACUGGGUGUAAAGGGAGCGUAGACGGCAUGGCAAGUCAGAUGUGAAAGCCCGGGGCUCAACCCCGGGACUGCAUUUGAAACUGUCAGGCUGGAGUGCAGGAGAGGUAAGUGGAAUUCCUAGUGUAGCGGUGAAAUGCGUAGAUAUUAGGAGGAACACCAGUGGCGAAGGCGGCUUACUGGACUGAGACUGACGUUGAGGCUCGAGAGCGUGGGGAGCAAACAGGAUUAGAUACCCCAGUA
rnacentral:rRNA from 1 species